UACGUAGGGGGCAAGCGUUGUCCGGAAUCAUUGGGCGUAAAGCGCGUGUAGGCGGUUUGGUAAGUCUGCUGUGAAAGUCCAGGGCUCAACCCUGGAAAGCCGGUGGAAACUGUCAAGCUAGAGUACGGAAGAGGCGAGUGGAAUUCCUGGUGUAGCGGUGAAAUGCGCAGAUAUCAGGAGGAACACCAAUGGCGAAGGCAGCUCGCUGGGACGUUACUGACGCUGAGACGCGAAAGCGUGGGGAGCAAACAGG
rnacentral:rRNA from 1 species